AACAUAACAUUAUACAUAUCUCCUAUCUUUUGGGCAACAUGGAAGAAAAUCUCACUUGGGCAGUAAGGAGUGUCGAGGUUGAUAAUGUCGUAUAUGAAAUGUUUCACCUUCAUUCUGCUCUGAGAUAAUUGUUGCAGACAUCCCCUAGACUAGCUCUUUGUUUGAUCCUUGGUGUAGUCCCAACUAGCAUAAGCCUUUCUUCACUCUAUCUACUCCAACUGCCUUUUAGGUUGAAAGGUCCUUAUCACAUAAAAUUUUGGUGAGAAAAUAAGACGUCAUUUCAAGUCUUCAACCAAUCUUCUAGCUGAAAUCAAAUUAGAUUUGAUACCUAACACAUAAAGAAUAUUAUGGAGGGUCAACGCAUCUAUUAUCUUCAUUUUUCUAAUGUGGGAUACAUUCACCUUAUUGCCAUUCAGUAAAGCAACUUGUGAGGAAACUUCUAUUGUGAUGUUAGUGUACAAGGAUGAUGUGGGUACAAUAUGAUCUAAAGCACUUAUAUGUAUGAUUUAAGAAGAUA
rnacentral:lncRNA from 1 species